rnacentral:rRNA from 1 species
GACGAACGCUGGCGGCGUGCUUAACACACGCAAGUCGAACGGAAAGGCCCUGCUUUUGUGGGGUGCUCGAGUGGCGAACGGGUGAGUAACACGUGAUUAACCUGCCCUUGACUUUGGGAUAACUUCAGGAAACUGGGGCUAAUACCGGAUAGGAACUCCUGCUGCAUGGUGGGGUUGGAAAGUUUCGGCGGUUGGGGAUGGACUCGCGGCUUAUCAGCUUGUUGGUGGGGUAGUGGCUUACCAAGGCUUUGACGGGUAGCCGGCCUGAGAGGGUGACCGGCCACAUUGGGACUGAGAUACGGCCCAGACUCCUACGGGAGGCAGCAGUGGGGAAUAUUGCACAAUGGGCGGAAGCCUGAUGCAGCAACGCCGCGUGCGGGAUGACGGCCUUCGGGUUGUAAACCGCUUUCGCCUGUGACGAAGCGUGAGUGACGGUAAUGGGUAAAGAAGCACCGGCUAACUACGUG